rnacentral:lncRNA from 10 species
GAUGUCAGCUGAGCUCUGGCUAUUAAGUUACUAUUGCUUUAAAUACUCCUUUAAACCCAUGACCCAUCUAGCAGCUCUCAGAUGGCAUAUAAAAUGAGAGGAAAAGAGCACCUGAUCGGGCUGACAUCAAGAGAUCACAAGUGUUUGCAGGUUUUCCAGAGUGUUUAGGAAUAAAAGAGCAGUGAGUCAAAGUGUGUGGAAGAAGGAGCAGGAGCAGAGGAAAAGGUGUUGGUCCCAGCGGGUGGGAAAGAAUUAACAGUGCGGAGAGUAGGGGGGAGGAAGGUCAGUUUUGUUUGCACGAAACCUGCCUUUGUGGCCUGGGAUAUGACUGUAAAAUGUUUAACCGGGGGUCAAAUAUGGGCUUUGGACAAAGGUAGAAGGGGGCAGCCGGUGAACAUUGGAAGUGUUUUAAUCUGAAAUAGCCUCUCAAGGUGGAAGGCAGGAGGAGGUGAAUACGAGGCAAAGGGAAGUGGGUCUUGGGAGAAACCUGGUCAGCAGGGCAUCCCUCAGGUCGGGGGCAGGGCCUCCGGGUGUUUCAGGUCUCACUCAUUCCAUACACACUGGAACAGUUCCCUGCCACUGCUCUGCAAAUGCUGAUAACAGCUCCACAUAUGUUCUACCACUUUGAAGGAGAAUUCUCUGCCCUGACAAAAAAGGUGAGCUUCCAGAAACCUGGGACCUCAGUGAACUUGCAAGACGCCUCUAAUAAAGAGAAGCAGCAUGACUUCGCUGGGGAAAGACGUGCAGUACCUCGCCACUGUGUAGUGUUCCUACCGUACAGACACCACAGACACGAUUAACCUCGAGAGCAUAGAUAUUAGGAAGAGGAAAACAACUGAGGAAAACUGUUGAAGUGAUGAAGAAGGAGGUUACCUUCUAGGACUCCCCCGGUGCUGUCUUUCUGCGGAGCCCCCUUCUUCUCAGCCUCUAACCAGCCACCCGGGGAGCUGAGUCCUUCCCCCCGGCGCCCAGGCUGCUGCGCGGAGCUCAGACACACGUCCAUAGCCGGCUGUCCCAAAGACAGCUGUGCAUUGAAAAGCAAUCUACAAAAGAACGACUAUAAUCUACUGACUGACUGUUACUAGUUCAGCACAUCUAUGAUCUACAUCGCAUGUUCGUAAUUAAUACAGAAUUGGAAAUGACUCCUUGUUAGUAUGCCCAAAAUAAUUUUGAAUUGUUACACGUAUCUUUACCUUAUGCAGCAGAAGAGAUGUGAGGCUUCUGUGCACUCUUUAAUCCCCAGUGUUUUAUAUAGGUCUACACCUGAAAGGAUUAGCAUUUGAUGAACAAAAUCCAGCCAGUGGAAGCCCAAGUUAUUUAGGGUAGCAUUAUCUACCAGUCCUCAUAGACACAUUACUUUGCUAGAAUUCUCUCUCUUUCUCUCUCUCUCUCUCUCUCUCUCUCUCACACACACACACACACACACACACACACGCACAGUCCUAGCAACAUUCAAUGGAAUUCCCUUCAAAAGUUUCAGGAAUAUCACUGGAACAGAACAGAGGCUGCCCCUGUGGCAUCCAGUUGCUGCGAUGUGGUUCGAAACGUUAGACUUCCAGUUCACUUUUCAAAGAAGUGGGUGUUGGACAGUUGCACAGACUUGCAAAUUUUGUGCUCAUUUGCCAAACUCCAGUAGCCACAGGGAGGACAUGCCCACCCAGCCUCUGCCUAGGACCCGUAUCCAGGCAGCCAGAAAGAACACAAGGAUCUACCAAGAGGAAGGGAAUGCUUUGGGGAGGAAGAAAGGAGAGCAUCUAUCCAUGAGAAGGGACGGGAGUCAAAGGCUUAACGUUGAAUCUGGGGGAUUUAGAGCAGAGGGAAGAGGAAAUCAGAAAAACUCUUCCAAGAAAAAGUAAGCCAUUGUGAUUUAUUUAACUGAAAUAAGGGAUAGUCAAAAGGGAAGGAGAAAAAUCAUGUGCUCAUUUGUGAAGCUCAGAAACCCUUAAAAUAGAAUAUAGGUCACACAAAGUAAAGCCUCAGACAAAUGGGAAUUAAAGAAUCACUUGUGAUAGGCUACAUUCAACCAGGGAGUUGGAUGAAUGGUGUUUUAACCUGAGUAGAUAUAAAAGCCCAUUUUUGUUUUUGUACCCACCCUCGGUACUCGUUUCUCUGGUGUCACUAUUUUGUGUUCUUUAUGUCAGUUUCUUUUCACUCAGGAUGUUCAUCUAGAUGUGCUGUGGUCCCAUGUAAAUCACCUUUCCCACUUUCUUAAAUGACUGGGGAUAAGCCGGCAUUUGUUCCAGCUCUAUCGUUCUAAUGCUUUCUUAUUCCCCAAAUGCAUCUAGUUCUAUGAUUGCAUUCUGCAUCUCUGCAACUUAUUUCUUCCAGGUGUCAUCAGUCCCUAUGAGAAAUAGCAAAAAGAUAGUCAUCAGUACAAUUCUACAAAAACCUUUUAAAAACUGAUUGCAAUGUACGUGAAUAUAUGUGUGUAUAUUUAUAUGCAUGUAGACACACACAUAGACAAACAUAUGCGUUCAUUCUACAAGCUUUAAAAUGAAGCAAAGGACGAAGGAAAAAAUGUUGAUCUCCUUUAAUUCUACUAUCUAGAGAAAGAAACCUCACCAACUUUUUUUUUUGUAUCAACUUCUAGGCUUAUUUUUUUUGUAUAAACUUUUUUAAAGCUAUUUUACUGAAAAUGUGACUUGAUAGAAACAUGUACCUCUUUAACCUAGCAUCCUAUUAAGAGUUCCUUUUUAGGAUGAGUUCAUGUCCUUUGCAGGGACAUGGAUGAAGCUGGAAACCAUCAUUCUCAGCAAACUAACACAGGAACAGAAAACCAAACACCACAUGUUCUCACUCAUAAGUGGGAGUCGAACAAUGAGAACACAUGGACACAGGGAGGGGAACAUCACACACCUGGGCCUGUCAGGGGGUGGGGGACUUAGGGGACGGAGAGCAUUAGGAGAAAUACCUAAUGUAGAUGAUGGGUUGAUGGGUGCAACAAACCACCAUGGCACGUGUAUACCUAUGUAACAAACCUGCACAUUCUGCAUGUGUACCCCA